rnacentral:rRNA from 1 species
CUCGUAGGCGGUUCGUCGCGUCCGGUGUGAAAGUCCAUCGCUUAACGGUGGAUCCGCGCCGGGUACGGGCGGGCUUGAGUGCGGUAGGGGAGACUGGAAUUCCCGGUGUAACGGUGGAAUGUGUAGAUAUCGGGGAGAACACCAAUGGCGAAGGCAGGUCUCUGGGCCGUCACUGACGCUGAGGAGCGAAAGCGUGGGGAGCGAACA